UUGAAGCAAGUCAUCAGAAAUGUCAAUCCCAACCAUUCACAGAAACGGUUAGAACAACAGGCUUGAACUAAUACUACAUCUAAGGCUAAUGCUACAUACUGUAGAUCAGGUGUUAAACAAAAGGCUUGCAAGCUGAAUCCGGCCCGUGACACAUUUCCAUCCAGCCCACGCAAUUACUUGGGUUGUCAAUUCAUUUUGGCCCGCCUCCAUACCACCCCGAUGCACUGCAUUGCAUACGUGCUGUACGCCAAAAGGCAGUGCAUUGCCACAGACACACUCCUCCUCCCAGAUCCACACACAAGCCAAAUCGCUGCAUCAUAUCGUCACUAAUGGCCAAAAAACAUUUGAACAGUAGCCUAGACUCAAUUACAAGAAGUCAAUGUGCGGGGGUAAAGGUUAGUCAAGGUAAUUUGUACAUGUAGGUAGGGGUGAAGUGACUAUGCAUAGAUAAUAAACAGUGAGUAGCAGCAAGGUAAAAACAAAUGGAGGGGGAGGGUGUCAAUGUAAAUAGUCUGGGUGACCAUCUGAUUAAUUGUUCAGCAGCCGUAUGGCUUGGGGGUUGAAGCUGUUAAGGAGCCUUUUGGACCUAGACUUGGCGCUCCUGUACCGCUUGCCGUGCGGUAGCAGAGAGAACAGUCUAUGACAGUCUUGGACAAUUUUUGGGGCCUUUCUCUGACACCACCUGGUAUAGUCCCUGGAUGGCAGGAAGCUCGGCCCCAGUAAUGUACUGGGCUGUAGACCCUCUGUACUGCCUUCCGAUCAGUUGCCACACCAGGCGGUAAUACAACCGGUCAGGAUGCUCUCGAUGGAGCAGCUGUGGGACUUUGAGGAACUGAGGAUCCGUGCCAAAUCUUUUUCAGUCUCCCGAGGGGGAAAAGGUGUUGUCGUGCCCUCUCCACAACUGUCUUGGUGUGUUUGGACCAGGAUAGUUUGUUGGUGAUGUGGAAUCCAAAAGAACUUGAAACUCUCGACCCGGUCCACUUGAGUCCUGUCGAUGUUAAUGGCGGCAUGUACGGCCCUACUUUUCUUAUAGUCCACAAUCAGCUCCUUUGACUUGCUCACAUUGAGAGAGCGGUUGUUGUCCUGGCACCACCCGGCCAGGUCUCCGAUCUCCUCCCUGUAGGCUGUCUCAUCGUUGAGGGAGAGGUUGUUGUCCUGGCACCACACUGCCAGGUCUCCGAUCUCCUCCCUGUAGGCUGUCUCAUCGUUGAGGGAGAGGUUGUUGUCCUGGCACCACACUGCCAGGUCUCUGAUCUCCUCCCUGUAGGCUGUCUCAUCGUUGAGGGAGAGGUUGUUGUCCUGGCACCACACUGCCAGGUCUCCGAUCUCCUCCCUGUAGGCUGUCUCAUCGUUGAGGGAGAGGUUGUUGUCCUGGCACCACACUGCCAGGUCUCCGAUCUCCUCCCUGUAGGCUGUCUCAUCGUUGAGGGAGAGGUUGUUGUCCUGGCACCACACUGCCAGGUCUCCGAUCUCCUCCCUGUAGGCUGUCUCAUCGUUGAGGGAGAGGUUGUUGUCCUGGCACCACACUGCCAGGUCUCCGAUCUCCUCCCUGUAGGCUGUCUCAUCGUUGAGGGAGAGGUUGUUGUCCUGGCACCACACUGCCAGGUCUCCGAUCUCCUCCCUGUAGGCUGUCUCAUCGUUGAGGGAGAGGUUGUUGUCCUGGCACCACACUGCCAGGUCUCCGAUCUCCUCCCUGUAGGCUGUCUCAUCGUUGAGGGAGAGGUUGUUGUCCUGGCACCACACUGCCAGGUCUCCGAUCUCCUCCCUGUAGGCUGUCUCAUCGUUGAGGGAGAGGUUGUUGUCCUGGCACCACACUGCCAGGUCUCUGAUCUCCUCCCUGUAGGCUGUCUCAUCGUUGAGGGAGAGGUUGUUGUCCUGGCACCACACUGCCAGGUCUCUGAUCUCCUCCCUGUAGGCUGUCUCAUCGUUGAGGGAGAGGUUGUUGUCCUGGCACCACACUGCCAGGUCUCCGAUCUCCUUCCUGUCUCAUCGCUGUCGGUGAUCUGGCCUAUGACUGUUGUGUCGUCAGCAAACUUAAUGAUUCGAAUUUGGCCAUGCAGUCAUGGGUGAACAGGGAGUACAGGUGGGGACUAAGCACGCACCCGAGGGGCCCCAGCGUGGCAGAUGUGUUGUUGCCUACCCUUACCACCUGGGG